ensembl:lncRNA
CCCCGCUCCACGCACCGCCCCCGGCUGGGCCCCACGGCCCCAAGCCCGCCCCUGGAAGCCCCGCCCCUGCCCGGGACACACCCCCGGACGGAGGAUCACGAUUGGCUGAUGAGGGAGGGGCGGGGCCGGGCUCCGGGGGGCGGCUCGGAGCGGGUCCACCUCCUGCUCCGCGGGCACGACAUUGAGGGGGAAACCGAGGCUGGAGAGGCAAAGGGACUCCCAAAGGUCACCUGGCUGGCGGGCAAAGCGCUGCGAGGGAACGCACCGGCGGGCUGAGGGUCCGCUCGGGGCGGGCGCACGCGGAGGUCCCGCUUGGUGACCUGAGUGUGAUGAGCCAGUCUGGACCUCGGAGCCUGCGCCCGCGAGUCUCGGAAUCACGCAGCUCAGACCACCUUGUGAUGUUCAUUUCCCUGUCCUGUGUCACCACCCGAGAUGCUGACCCAGAAUCAUCACUCCUGAAGACAGGCCGGUGCUCCCUCACGUGACCCUCUGUCCCUGGGCCGUCUGCCCUCACAGAAGGCCUCUGCCAGCUCCCUGGGCACUUUGAACUUGAGCACGAAGCAGCUAGGUCUUUGCUUGCCUCCCUCAUCAGACUGGGGAGGGACUUUGCCUUCCCCACAUUUGUGGCUGUACCUGGUCGGCUCACAGGAAGGUCGUGCACGCAGACCAGACCUGCUUCUGCCUGGGAUUAAGCAUCGGUCCUGAACCCAGGCCGACCAGGGCUGCAGCUGCAAACAUCCAGGCCGGUCACACGGAGGCCCUGAAGUGUGGGCACAGGAACUGGGCCUUCAUCCUAUGGAUGUGGGGAACCUGGAUAGCCACUGAGCAGGGCAGUGACUGGCGCAAACACCGGGGACUUUCUAUCCACUGUCCUUGUCAGCCCAGAGCCUGGAGGAAGGAGCAGGGGACAGCAUCCUGAGAUUUGAUCUCCACAGAUCGCAGAACACUGCUACCAACAUGGCCAAAGCUGAGGGUAGCCUCGCCCUAACCAAGGACACUGUUUGAGUGGAAAUGACAGUGCCCUGUGCGGCACACAGACCCUGUCUCUUCUGAGUAUUUCUGUGAUGAGCGCCUGGCGCAAGUCCAAAUGACAAUUCAGUAACAGGUGCGCUGCUGGUGGGACGAUUUAACCAGUGACAUAGGGUGGGAUUGAAAUUCUGAGCUCUUUAGCGUCUCCCCCAAAAUUAUUAGAUUCAGAAAACUGCAAGCAAAACAAAACAGACGGAACAACUAUAGAAAAAAGCCAACUUGUUCAGCGCUCAGCAUCUGCUUGCGAACCCAACCGUGAGUGCAUCUGAUUGUGUGCGUACCUCAUUUCUCCCUGCCCCAUCCCCUGAAGUUAAGAGAAGUCAGGGAGGGCCAUCUCCCGCCUUGGCCUGUCAGCCACCUGUCCCACAGGCCCCUGCAUGCCUGGGCCUCCCUGGUGGCUGGGUGAGUGUGGGCACAUGAUGUCCAGGGCUUGUGGCUUCCCCUCUGCAGAAUUCUGGGGACCCAGGGCCUUUGCACUGAGAUACAUCUCCAGGCCCCUCUCCCCUUUGAUUUUGAGACAAGGUCUUGCUAAGUCACUAAGUUGCUCAGGCUGGGCUUGAAUUUGAAGUCUUCCUGCCUGUCUCCUAGAGUGCUGAGAUCAUGGAUGUGAGUCACUACAUCCAGCUCCCAGCUUCACUCUUACCUGAGGGCAAGACUUUUCUGGCCCCCAGCUGAUGAUGGGGGACAACACAGCAUCCUCCCAGACUCUGAGCACCUUGACCUCGGUCUGUUCACCCAUCUCCUCCAAAGUCAAAGCCCAGUGUCAUCUGAUGGCCAAAGCCACAUGGCCCGGGCCCUCUCUGAGUCCCUCUUCCCCCAGUAUGUGGCUGGCAGGACCUGUCCUCAUGCUGUGUCUGCACACCUCCCCUGGCACAGGGAGACUUUGCUGACCCAGAGGGGUGAUGGGCACUGUUCCCCACUCAGCCCUGCAGGUGGCCACACCUCUGCCUGCUCCCUGCAGUGGAAGCUGAGGCCCAGAGUCUGAGCCACCUGCCUGAGAGCACAGGACCUGGGGCUAGUGGCCCUGCUCAAGUGUCCUCAUCUUUUCCACUCCCUCCCCAGCUCUGUGACCUUGGACAGCCACAGCCACCCCGCAUCCCUCCUCAUUGUAAAGUGAGAGGCCUGGCAGGUGGAUGUGAGACGUGGCUGCCAGCUCAGGGCUCUGGUUGUGUCUGAGGUGUGAUCGUGAUGUCAUCUGCCGCCAGUGAGAGAGCCCUCUUCCUGUCUUGGGCAGGGUGGACACAUGACCAUCGGCUGCUCACGUUGUGAGUCGCACUCAGCUUCCCUUGCUCCAUGCCCUGGAAAAGCACGCAGGAGCAACCUGAGCCUGGACUCCCCUCUGGCCCCUGAAGAGCCCAGCUGUCCUUCUCUGGGAAACCUCCCAGGGCUUGCAGGUCAGCUGAAAGUCACCCCGGGCCUCGCCAAGGCCUCUGUGUCCCCUCUGUCCCUGCACAGGGGGUCUGGCUUCCUUCUCUGCUCCUCUCUAGUCCCCCCAUAGAAUCACCUGAGGCUUGGGUCUGAAAUUCUGCACUGGAGAACCGACCCUUCCUGCUGCUCUGGGGAGAAAGUUAACCUCAGGAUGCUCUGGGAAAUGACCGAACCAAGGGGCCCAAAGGCUGGCUGCCCACGGGGCCUCAGUGCUUGCCAGGAUGUGACCCUCAGACUGAGAAUGUGAAGCCAGCCCUGGUCUCCCAGUCAGCCGCUCCUGUCCUCUUUGGGCUGGAGCCCAGGAGUCCAAGGGGAGGGGCUGCCUGGCAGGAUCCGAGGCCCAGUUGGAGCUGUCUGGCCUGGGGGCUCCCCGAGGACAGGGUGGGGCAUCCUCUUUGGUCUAGAAGGUAGGCUGCUCCUCCCCACCUGCUGUGUUCCAAGUUGGAGCUCAGAUCCUCACUGCAGGGUGACCUUGGCCCAUUGCCUCUCCUCCCUGAGCCUUCGUGUUUGCCCUUGAGGGCCACAGUGAAAGUCCCACUUCCUGACUGACUUCCCAACCCUGCCUGCCCUGCCCUGUCCGGCCUCACCUGCUUACCCCACCACCCCAAGUUCUGUCCCUGGACACACCACAUCUGCUUGGCAGCCCGCAGGCCUGGGUACUGCUCUUUGGACUUUCCCCUCCAGAGCUCCACUUCCAUUCUACCACUUUGCAUUGCUUUUUUUCUGCAAGGUGUCUCCUCCUCACUUCUGUCUCUUUUUAAGUUUAUCUUGGGCACCUCCUCCACCAGGAAGGCCUCCCUGAUCUUCCCUCUGUGGAAUGUGCUUCCUGAUGACCCCAUGUAUUAUAUUUGUUUGCUGGUCGUCUCCCUCCCUAGGCUGGAAGCUGCUUGGGAAUCUCAUGAGAUUCUUCAUAACAGUAACAGCAGGAAUGAUGGGAUAAAAAAAAAAUCAUUGGGCCUUUAUAAUAACAACUGAAUCCAAAACAGGUCACCUGUGGAUGCUCAAAUGAGUGGGUAAAAGUUUGAGCAGCAAGAUAUUUAAAAAGCCUCAAAGUACCUCAAGAACAAAAUGAAACAAGGUAACUUUUCAGUAGAGUCUGACAGACCUGGUCUUUACCAAGUGAUCCUAAGAAUGGGACACAUCUCAGGUCCUCCUGAUAGGACCCCCGGGAAGACAUGACCCCCGCUGUGGUCAUUGGCCUGAACAGGGAGCUUUCAUCAUGAUGGACAUUCUACAAAUUCACCAGUCUGUGCUCCUCAAACUGUGCUGCCCUGAAAUGAACUCUUUCCAGAAACAGGAGCCAGGCCUGCUGGGAGGUCAGAGUGGAGAGGGGGACCAGGGCCCUGUGUCACAGAGUCGGCAGCUGCUGUCACCUGCACCACAGCCCUGGUGUGCAACAUGUCUCGGCUCUACUCUCUGAGUCCUGCAGGUCAGUGUGAGAACUAGUACUCCAGGGCUCCUUCCUCCCAAAGUACUAGGGAAGAGCCCGGCGCUUCGGUUUUCCAGCUCCUGGAGGCCUCCGAGUCCCUUGGCUGGCGACCCCGUCCUCCUGCACGGCAUCUCUGGGUCUCUGACUUCCCUCUCCUUUGACCUCACUCAGGCACUGUGACCCACUGGGCCCCCUGAGGCGAUCACGGAUCGCUGCCAUCUCAGACCCUUAAUUUGGUGGUUGUAGAGUCUUUUGGCCAUGGACAGUGACCUGUUUGGAGAACUGGGGACUUGGAUGUGAAUGUCUCAGAGGCCAUAUUCCGUACCAUUAGAGUUCAAAGCAUAGCCACCGAGGCAGGCGACUGUGCCGUUUGCUCCCUCUGGGGCAUUGGGCAUAUUGCUUCUCCAGCUGAGUUCCCCCAUGUGAGGAAGGGAGAGUAAAAGUUGUCAGAGGGUCAGAGAGGUGGCAUCUGUGCUGUCUGCAGGGCGGGGCAGGCACAUGGGAGAUGCUGGGUGGAAGCUUGUGUUUGUGCAGCCAUUGGGGUUAGAACCAUGGGAAGAGGGAGUGGAAGGAGGGAAGGAGAAGGGGGAAUAGAAGGAGAGGAAUCAGGGUAAGAGGAGGUGAAGAAGAAAAAGGUGAAUGAAGAGGAGGAGGAGGAAUAAAAGGAAGAGGAGGAAGGAUUGUCCACAGAAACAGGAAGCCACUUCCAAUGGGUAAAGUUCUGGGGACCUCCGAGGGGCCGGGCUUUACUGGCCAUGGCCCAAGACAGGGUCACCCUUUCAGCAGCAGGACCAGGUGUUGAGGAGUCACCAGGCCACUUCCCUAACAUCCAGCCAGGCUGCUUUGCCUGGCUCCCGAGUGGUAAACUGGCAGCCCAGAGGAGAAGCCCAGUCCAUGCCCAGGGCCUGCAGGAGGGUCAUCUCCUAGGACCUUGGGUGGCUCCUGGUCCAACUGCCACUGUGGGGGGACACAGAGGCCACAGAUGCCUGGGCUGUGGGUGGUGGUGGUGAUGUGUCCAGAGUCUCCCUGCCACCCACCCAUGUGGCAUCUUCAUUUGGCUCCAUGGUGCUGAGCAGGGGCAGACCACUUGGACCAGAAGGCAGGACAGCUUCCAUCUGUUCCCGUCCUUGCUGAGUCCAAAGAAGAUCUCACCCACAGACAGAGACCAACCCCGGGAUCCAGGAGCAAGGGACAGAAGGGUAGGGAGCUGGCAGGAGGUGGCCAUGGCCCUGUGGCCAGCCAGGGCUCACUGGAUGGGUCCAGUCUAUAGUAAAGAGGGCUUCCGUCACUGUAUGCUGCCUGUGCGCUCACUGGACAGUCACUUUUGGGUUGAGAUGACAGGAUCGAACCCCGGCUCCACCAUCCCAAGCCUGCAUUAGCACAGAGCAUAGCAGAUUCAUCUUCCAGCAAGGACAAGAACACUGGCCCCUGCAGGCUCUGUGGCCUUGAGCUCAUAUGCCUUCUUCUAUCCGUGCGUGGCUCCCCGAGGGGCCCCCAGGACAUGCAAGUAGGGCCAAGCUCCAGGCGUCCCCAAGGCCAGCUCUCCUUUCUCCAUGGCAGAUGGGAAGACGAGGGCGGGGUGGGAGCACAACUCCUCCAGCCAAGUCCCUGCUGGAGAGUGGGACUGAGGGACACUCCUGGCCUGGGGUGCGUGUGUGUACGUGUAUGUGUGUGUGCUGAGUCUGCCGGUGGGGAUGGAUAUGUACAAACGUGUAUUUGUGUGGCACCUGUGUGCACACACAUGUACGUGUGUGUGUGUGUGUGUGUGAGAGUGUGCAGCUCAUCUUGGACACACACAUGGGUCUGGGGCCCGAGGCGGCUGGCAGCUUCGACCUCUGCUGCCAGGUCCCCGAUUCUCCAAGCGAAUGCCCCUCGCCUGUCUUGGUUAAGGCCGUUCCAAAGCUGGCUGCGGUGUCUCAUGGGGCUCCGUCCUCCAGUCACCCACAGAAUUGUCCCUGCCCCAAUCCUGCUGCCCUGGGUCGGCUGACUGUACCCUCCUGGGCCUUGGUUUUAAGGCUCGGCUGUCCAUUUCCCCACCAUUUCGUUCACAGAGGAACAAAGAUGGAAUUGUGGUGACAUUUACCUUUUCCUUCCCUGAUUCCAGCCCUGUCACUAGGUCCACAGGCUGCCUGGGAGUUCAGAAGCAGCUUCUGGGAGCAGCCUGGGGCAGAUGGUGUGGGUGCUGUCCACAGUGCCCCGGGUGCCCAUCCUGUCCUGGGUCACCCAGGGUCGGCACCCUUGGCUUCUCCCUCUCUGCAGCCCUUGGCUCAGGCCUGAGCUGUCCCCACACCCUGUCCACCCUCCUGGGGUGCUUCCCAGGCCACUACCUGGCCCUGCCAACCUCACCCGAGCCAGCCAGCACCUCCUAGCUGUCUCUGAGCCUCCCACCGAGCUGAGCUGGGGUGUCCCACUGGACCCACAAGCUGCCCUGAAGCUCCCGCCCCAUGCCCAGUCAGAGGUGGGAUGGGCUGCAGUGCUGUGCACAGCUCCUGGCAGGGUCACCUGGAGACCCAGCCCUGUGUGCUGCCCACCUCUGUGAGGCGCCCCACUCAAGUUGUGUGCCCGACGCGUGGGCUCAUCCCACCACCCCCACGACCUGCUCAACACAGCAGUGGCCCCAGAGACUUAAGGGACUCACCUGCCCACACCCGGGACUCUUGAGGACCUGAGACCUGGGGACCCAGCCCCAGCUGAGGGUCCCCUCACCUCCCGGGGAGAGGCCUGCAGUCCCAAGGCCUCUUCUGGUUGCUCCCCAGGUGUGCGGGGUGCAGAAGGUGUUGUGGGACAAGGGAAUCUCGGGCUCCAGGUCUAGGGAGUAGAGGCCAGAGCUGGCAGCCAGCCUAGGGUCCUGGGAGGGACGUCCACCUCGUGGGCCACAGAGGCCACCAACACUGUAGGCAGCCAGGGGAGAGCUGAGCAGGGUGUGCAGGGUGGCUUGGGGUAUAGGAAGUGGGGUAAGGAUUGCCAGGAGUUGGGGUGCAGGGGGGCAAGUCCCAGAAGGAGAUACUGGUGCUUUCCAGAUGGGGGCACAGCCAGAGGGACACCCUGGCAGGGCAGGGCACGGGACAGAUGGUACAGUGGGUGGAGCCCUGUCCUCAGGCUCACCCCUGUGUACCUUGGACCCAGUUCUGGGGUGAGGAAACUGAGGCACAGAGGCAAGAUGGGAACUCAGCUCCAGGCAGAGCUGCCUCUGUGGAGUAGGAGGAGCUGGGUGCAGGCAUGAGGCCAGGCUUGGCAGGGAUGGGUGGCUUGGGGGCAGCCAGACGGAGAGGCAGGGGUGGGAGCCCAGGGUCCUCGCUGGGGCACCAGGCUUGGUGCUAGGACCCUGCCUGGAAGGACCUGGAUGGAAGUCUGGUGUGGCGAGCCCAGAGGGCUCUGGCUCUGGCAGCAGGGGACAGAAGCCGCUCCUCCGUGUGCUCACCCAGCCCCAACACUCCCCAUAGCCCUCCUUGGCGCAUGUCCAUGGACCCCGGACUGCAGUGCCCAUCCUGUCUGUAGGGCAGAGGCUUGAGUCUGGGGCCUGGGUCACUGCUCCUGGCAGGCCAGGCACUCAGUGACCUCAGCUGGUCACAAAGCUGCCCACCCAGGUGCCUCCCUGGGGGAGAACACACAGAAGCCUUCGCCAGCCCUGCCCCCCGGGACAGCUGAGGUGACCUCGGGCUCCUGCUAGAAAUCCAAACUGCCCUGAACCCCAGCCCAGAGGCUGCCAUAGCCCGGGCACCCCUGCAACCCAGAGCAGGAGGAGGCUGCAGCCUGGUGUCUGCCCUCCAGGAUGCCUCGUCUGCACAGAGGCCCCGGUGUGGUACAGGAGCCCGCGCUGUGACCUUGGCCUUGGCUCGGACUUUGGACUCCUAGGGCCACAUCACCCAGAUACUGGGCAAGGAGGCUAGCUGUCCAGUGGCCCCAGGGAUGGCGGUGCUUGUGACACUGUGUUCACAUCUGCUCUGACCCUGAGUAGCCCCUGGUCACCAGGCAGAGGAGCCGGCUGUGCCAGGAGGCAGAGCUUGGGCAACAGCCACCCUGCUCUGCUGGGCCAGGGACGUGCACCCAGGACUGCUGUGUCACCUCCCACCCAGCCUCCAUGAGCGAGGCCUCAACCAGCUGUGGUCAAAUGUACGGCUGCUUCACACACUGCCCAGCCGGGCUGGGCACACAGAAAGCGCAACCACCAGGUGAACGUCGGCUGAACCACCUCUGUGGCAGGGUUGCUGGGACUCUUCCCAGGUGGCCCAAUGGCUGAGGGGCCCACGUGGAGGCCAUGCCAACCUUACCGUCUGGGGGCCUGCAGCCCCCAGCCUGUCCUGUCCACACCUGUCUGUCCCCAGCCACUCCCCCCUCUCUUCUGUUUCCAGGGUCCAUGCUGAGCACAGAGCUCGAGCCCCGCCUGGCCCCGGCCACCCUCCCUUGCCCUUUGCCCAUGCUGUUCCACUGCUGUAACGAUGCCCUUCCUGCCUUGCUGCUGGGGACCCCAGAUCUGAUCCUUGCCAUGAAGUGCCAGUCCCCUCAGUGCCCUCACUGCCAUGGCCAUGGAUGGGGGCAGCAGGCACCUCCAGAGGCAGUUCUGCCCUGCCCUGACACCCACUAAAUCCCUCUGUGGCUCCCGUGGCCCCAGGGACCCCCAGUGGUGCCCACCCACCUGUGGUCUCUGGAUCCUGUGCCUGCCAGGAGCUUCCCACCUGUGGGUCCCGUGCCUGCUUCCCUCACCCCCUGCACCCUGCCUCACCUGGGAACAUGGGUCAGUGGUCCCGUUGCUGCCACCCACAGGAAUCCCUCCCUGACCUCUGGGGCAGGAGGUCAAAGUCAUCUGCACAGCCAGAUGCCGAUUCCCGCCAGCCAGACAGACAGACCUCCCUGCUGCCAGGGGGAAGGGCAGGGACACCUGAGGAUCACACGCAGGGCACAGUGGUCACCACAGCUCCCCAGUGUGCUUGCUAUUUUGUGUACGACCUUGGGGCUGCUUCUCCCUCAGGUCAAUGUGCACAGCUGUGAAACGGGGAGCUGCCCUCGCUGACAGUGACCUGUACUGGGGACCAGCACACUUGCAAUGACACCGCUGGGGCUGACUGUCACUCAGCUGCGGUGACCUUGGCUUGACUGCACCAGCCUGUCCCUGGCUGUGAAGGGACAGUGGAAGGAGCUGGGGCUGGACGCCCAUCCAGCCAGGCCCACGGGAGCGGGAAGCUCCUGGCCCAGCCCCAUGGGCAGGUGGCCUCAAUGGGGGGGGUCACAGGGAGGCAGGGAUGGCGCCAGGGGGCAUAGCCCACUCCCACCCUCCCUCCACCACUCCCCUUGGGACGCUCACACAGGCCCAGGACCCGUCACCACCUGGCAGCCCAGCUGUCCCCAGAGCUGGUGUGGGGCCAGGCCGGCAGGCAGGAGCAAGGGGCCUUCGUCCUGCCUUCCUCUGUCCCCUGCUCUGCACAGCGGGGACCACUGGACCCCAUCAUGCCUGGCGCAGAUCUCAGCAGGCAUGAGGGCACUUGUGUGGGGCCUAGGCCACCACAUAUCAGCCCAGCACCUCAGACCUCUUGUGUCUUGGUCCCCAUUCCUGUCCCCUCUCCACCCAGGGAAUCUUCUGUCACCAAACGCCACCUGCACCAGCACCAUUCUGAGCCCUGGCCUUGCCCUGUCCAAAGGGGCCCCCUCUGUCACCGAUUCCGGGAUAGGCCAAUCCUUGAGGGGGACACAGAGCUGGGGAGCAGAGAAGAGAAGGCAGCAGGCCACCUGGCCAGGGCCCGGUGAGCCCAGGGUCACUGAGAAGAGGGCUCAGCAGUCCCCUCAGCCAAGGUCACUCCCGUGUCAUCACAGCAUGUGUCCCACUGCUCGCUAUGGCCAAGGCCAGAGAGGGUGGUGUCUUAGGUGUUUUCUUGUCACUGAGAUACAAUAUGGACACUGAAACUUAAAGGAGAGGUUUAUUUUGGCUCACGCUGUAGUUCACAGUCGGCUGCCUCCAAGGCAAGGCAGCAGGGCAGAGGGCCCUGGCAAGGCAAGCUGCUUGGGGCAUGGUAGGCAGGAGGCAGAGCACCAAGGGAAGAGCAGGCAGGCAGGUGCACCCCUUCCAGGCCACGCCCCCUGCGUCGGCCUCCUUCGAUCAGACUUCGCCUCCCACAGCGACUGGGCUCUGCAUCCUACAGUCCGGUCAGCUUCCCGAAGCCCCGCCUGUCAGCACAGGAGGCUUCAGGGGGACAUCUAGAUCUGAGGACUGAGGACACACAGCCCACUGACCUGCACACUGGUGUAUGAUCUGAGGCAGGGGCUGCUGGGGACAGGUGCGGAGAUCUGAAGUCAGAUCCCACCGGACAGGAAUGGGGGGCUCAGCCUCCCACGCCAGGGCCUGAAUAUACAUUCCUGGGAUCCUCUGAGCCUUGAGCACAUGGGGUGAGGGCGGGUGGGCACCCCUGCCCCUCCCCAGGCAAGCCAGUGGGGGCUGCCAGGGGACCUGCCAUGUGUUCAGCCUUCCAGCCCGCGCCAUAGGGGCAGGGUGUUUCCAGGCAGUGGCGGGAAGCGUCAGACCAACAGCCCUCGGAAGACCCUCUGCAGCCUGUGCUCAGCUCUUCCCAGCUCCAGCCUGGUCUUUCCCACCCAUGGUUCGGGUUGGCAAGGCUGGACCCACGCCUGUGCCCCCAGGGCGGCUGGUGACCCGGGCAGUGCCCCUUCCUGGGCGCAAGGCUGGGGACACAGAAGGGGGGACUUGAGUUCCCUUGGGAAGUCGCCUGCUGGCCCAGCCCCUGCCAAGGGGUGGUGAAGCCCAGGUGAGGGCCAUGGCUGAUGGCAGAGGGUGGGGAUGGGGAGGACAGAGACAACACAGCGAUGUGGCAGUGUCGCCUACUGUGGGAAGGGGCCCCUAGCAUGGCACAGUGCCCCUGCCCGGCCGUGCCCUGUUCGAGUCAGCCUGAGGUUUGGGGCAAGGGCUUCCCAACUUGCUCCAUCCCGGCUGAGCCUGAGGCCCCUUCCUGGGCCCCCAUGUCCCCAUCUGUCCCAUGAGUGCUGCCCUGCCCCAGCCAGGUCAGCGUGGGAACGGGGCUGGAAGUCCACAUGGUCAGGAGGGGUUCCUAGGGGAGGGGCCAUGAGGCAGUCAGGGCCUGGCAGGAUCAGGACAGACACACAGCUCCUGCUGUGCCCCCCACCCGGGAUGUGGCUCUCUUCUUCCACCCACAAACUCCUAUUCAUCCUUCAAAGCCUGGAUCCAGGCUCACACAUUUAUCUGUCUGACAGACGGUCACUGAGUGUCACCUCUGCUCAGAGGGUGCUGGGUAUGGAGACACAGAGGACAAGGACUUCAGCUGGGCUCCACAGCUUUGUUCACCCUGAGGUGUCACCACAGCAGCUGCUGUCUGUGGACCUGUGGGUCUCCCCGUCCAGAUUGGACUCCUCAGAGACUGCCCAGGUGCGGCUGGCACGGCAGCUCUGAGAUGUAGCUGUGGGGGGCUGGGAAGGGGCUGCCCCAUGCCAGGCUCCAGCUCCCUGGCUGGGUCCCAAGGACACACUUGUGUUGGGCCCGGUGGUCCUGACAGGUGUCUUCUGGGCUGCAGAGUCCUGGGCAGGGCUUGCUACCUUUCUGAGCUACAAUUUCCACAUCCUGAAGUAGAGAGAAAUAGCUGGGCACAGUGGUGGAGGCCUGCAAUCCUAGCACUCAGGAGGCUGAGACAGGAGGAUCUCAACUUCAAGCCUGGGCAAUGCAGUGACUUAGUGAGAUCCUGUCUCAAAAUGAAACAUAAAAAAAAGGGCUGGUAGAGGGCUAGCUCCGUGGUAUAGGGUUUGAUUCCCAGAACCAGAGGGGAAAGAGAAGAUGGGAAGAGAGAGAAUGUCCUGGCGGUGGGACCAGAUGCACGUGGCCGGGGCGCCCUUGGGGUACAAGGGUGCUGGUAGCAGUCAGCAGUGGCCUGGGCAGAGGCUGCCAGAGGUGAGGGCCAGAUGCGGAGCAGGGUAGGUGCACACUGUGGGGUGCCGUGGCCUCCUGCGGGGGAGCCUGGCUAGGAGGCGGGGUCUACAGACUUGGGGGGUUUGGGCUGAGUCUGGUUGAGGAACUGGGAGGGGGAGGAUGCAGGCCCGCCAGGCUCCGGGUAGGGGACACCAUCCAGGAGCAGGGCCUGGCUGAGCGGCAACAGUGGCCGUGCCCUUGUCCCCCUCGGGACCACACCCAGGCCAGAGAGGUGGCCUUGCUCAGCACUCCCAGGCAAGGUGCCCCCAUGCCCCACACUGGGCACAGGUCAGCCAGGCCAGGGACUGGGGAACUGGGCACUGCCAGCUGUUAUGCCCGCCCACCUGGACCCCGCAUUGCACUCCGCCCUCUGCAUGAGCUGACGCUCUGGGGGUCCCGGGAUCUGAGGGACCUCCUCGGGGAAGGAUCGCAGCAGGCUCCAGCUGGGUGGUGACCGGGCUGUCACCACGCCUGUCCCCUGCACUGCUGUGUGACCUGACAUGCACUGACCUCUCUGGUCCUUAGCUUCCUUGUCUGGAGCACAGAGAUGGGACAAGUGACGGCAGCCUCUGUACUGGGGACAGGUGAGACUCGCAGGACCCCUGAGAGGCCGCCUCCCCGCCCCCCCAACUCCAACAGUGGUGGACAGCAGCGGUUCCCUCGGCCCUUCUCUGGCCAUCUUAUCUCCUGCUGGGUGUGACUCUGGGCCACACAGCCUCCCAUAGCCUGGCCUGAGCCAGCACCCUCCACUCUGCAGGGUGACCCUGCCGGGGACAGUCUCGUCCACAGGGGAUGACAGUCCUAUGCGUGUGUUCUGAAGUCUUCCCUGCUCCUCCCUCCAGUCAGCAGUGUCCCCGGGCUGCAGCCAGAGGAGAGGGGACCCCUGCUCUCCUGAACCAGCCCCCACCUCCUCACUCUUAAGGGGGGGUCCUCGGCCUGGGGUCAAGGCUGCACCCCUGUCACUGCCAACCUGCAGUGCCGCCCACCACAUUUCCCUGGGCUCCGAGCGCCAUCUGCUGGUCAAACCUGGAGCCACUGUGCCCCAGGCCACAGCAGGCGGUGUCUCAGACCCUCCUCAGGGUGCAUACAGAGAAACAGGCUCACAAGAGGGGUUAGGGAGUCCCCCGGUCCCUUGUGGAGGCAGGGCCUAAACCAGGGAUGGAGGACAGGGCUCCGGAGGCCCAUCCUGUGCCUGUUGGCCUUGGGAGAUACAGGGACUCUGGGCCAGCUCCACCAGGAUGGGAAGUCCAUCCGAGUGCUACACCCCAAGGGCUGAGUGUGCCCCCAGUGGUGGCCUGCUCUGCCACCCUGGCCAGGCUGUGCCCCAGGAGCCCUGCUGUCACAGAACCCCACUCAGGGUCUUGGUGUGAGAUACUGAAAUGGAGGGGAUAGGUCUGAGUGUCACACUCGGCCCAGCCCCAUGGCCCAGUCUGCAGCUUCCACUGACAGCAGGGAUGGGCAGGAGACCCAAGGCACCCAGAGUUCCCUACACUGUGCCCACCCCGGAGCUCCCUGGACCCCUUGGUGCGCCGCCCAGCCAGGCCCGUCCCUACACCCGCUUGGCACAUCCUUAGUCAGCCUGCCUCGGGAUGGGGCAGGAGGGGCUCUCUGACCUGCAGCCCAGAGGGUCAGGGGACAAGGUGCUAGGCUCCUUGGAUGGCACAGAGUAGUGAGCACAGGAGCAGGGACCCCACCACUGGCUCUGGCUUCUUGCAAGGUGGGCCAGGUGGCUGCCUGGAGGCAGUGGCUUUGACAAAGCCCUAGAGGGCAGCAUCAGUGAAGUGGCAGGAGGCUGGGUCUGAUAAUGAGGUGCCAGGCUGGGAACCGUGUAGGUCUGGCAAAGUUUGGGGCAUGAUACCCCCAGUACCGUCCGCACUGACCACUGUGCUCCAGAUCCUGAAGUCUGCCCCUCUCAGAGCUCCCCUGCCCUCAUGGUGGCCAGGCUGGGCCAACACCCUGGGGAACAGAUAGCCCCUGAGGGACUUGAGCUGGGGUCUGGCAUGGGGAGGCUGUGAACAGUCAGGAGGGCUGAAGCGAGAGGACCCCCUCUGUAGGGCUUUGUCAGAGCCUUUGGCAGGCUCUGGGGCAGGACUCCAGGACCAGACUCCAUGGGCGGCAUCUCUGGAUGCCUGUGUCCUGGGCCCCUCUGAGUUCCAGAGCAUCAGGGACAGCAGCCACCUCCCCAGCUGGGUCCCCAGGGGCUGCUUCCUGCUGCUGAGCAGCCCUUGGGCUCUCACCGAGCGCUGACUUUAAUUCACUGACUGCACAGCUACUGUGUGCCAGGGGAGGGUGGGUGCCAGGGCCCACGGCACUCAUGGCCACACUUGGUAGGGGCGGUGACGGGAGGACUCUGUUUGGAUGCAGACGAGGGCACCCUGGGAUUGAGAUGGUUAGGACAGGAGGAGACCCUUCCCUAGUCCUGAGGAGUGGGAUGCACACAGCCUCAGCUCCUGUCCACCCUGUCCCCUGGUGGGCUAACGGAGUGUGACCAGGGCCAGCAUCGUGCACAGCAGAGCCCGGCCUCUGGGAUCCUCUCACUGGCCCUGGGUCCCUUCCCUGUAGAGCGUGGCCACCUUCGUCCCUCCACAGGGGCUCAGGAAGCUGGCGUUGGGGUCUUCUUGGGCUCCCUGACUGCUUCCUGCAGGAAGCCCUGGUCUCGUCUCCUGAGCUCACUCCUGGGACCUCUGGGAACUUUGAGCACUGGGGCCCCUCCUGUUCAGCCAGGAUGUGGGCCCUGGGUGAGCUGCUGGGCUCCGGGGUUCCCCGUCAGGUCCCACAAUGGAGGUGGGGGCACCCCCAGGAACCACUCCUGCCAGGACCUUGAAGGGCUCCCCAGGCCUUAGGCAGGCGAUGCAAAGGUCUAAAGGACAGGCAGGGCUCGGCUGGGCGACAGAGGCUCCGCUGGGCCCAGGAUGAGAGGGAAAGAGGAGAGGGUGAGGAGAGGCGGCCAGGGAAGCCUGGCUGCUGGGGUGCAGCUGUCCUGCUUCCAGGUUCGGGCCGUGCCUCUCCCUCUGCCCACCACCCAAGGAAGUGGGCAGCCCCUGUUCUGCCUGUGGAGCCUCAGUCCCCACCCCAGGGCUCCCGCUCUGGACCAUGCCACACGCGGGAGCCCGCCACCCACUCUGGCUCCCCCCCGACCUGCCAAGGGGCCCUGGGAAAGUCACUCGGGCUCCGUGUCCAUGCAGCGGGGACUGAGUGUCACCCAAGAGAGUGUCCUGGCUGCCCACGUGGACGCGCUGUGGCUAGGUCCCGCAGGGGCUUGGAAGCCCGGGGCUGAGGGCUGCUGUGGAUAGGUGUGGAGUUGGUCUUGUUCCCCAGGCAGCGAGCGAGCAGCACCCGCAGGCCCGCCUGCUCUGACCCCCCAGCAGGAGUCCUCCAGAAGGGCCUGGCAGGAGAGCCAGGGAGACCCAGGGAGACCCAGGUCCUGUCCCCUCCCAGCCUGUCACCUCCAUGGUCGCGAGGCUCAGCCACACCAGCCACUUCCUAGGCUUGUCCGUCCCCGUGUGGGUUGCCUGGAUGGGGCAGCUCCCUCUGGCUCCUCUCACAGGCUUGUGUGUGGCAGGACACAGGGUGUGUGUGCGCGCGAGCCAAGCCUGUUCCCUGGGUUUAGUCCUCUCUCUGAGCCGGCAAUCCUGUCCUGUUGCUGUGUUGGGCACAGAGCCCAGGGCAGGGGUCGGCGAGUGCAGGGCAGAUGGAGGACAGACACCCCUUGGUCACUCUGGCCGCCCCAGCCUUGUCCUGGGACCCAGGCUCCACCCCCUUCCCCCGGACAGGGCGCUGACUGGGGUAGGCGGAGCGUGGUGAUCACAGCUCUCAGCCAGCACUUCCUCCUGCUGCCACGCGGUGGCGCUGCUGGAAAACGCGCCGACUGCGGGGGAGACAGGUGGUGGCGAGUCUGGGCUGCCCGGACGGUGGCUCCACAGGGCGAAGCAGGUCCGAGAAGGCCCGGAACGGAAGGAGCCCCUCACCCUCCGGGGGCGGUGCCCAGCAUGCCCUCCCCGGGGGCGGGCACCUGGCCUUCCCGGAGCCCUUCCUCCAUGAACCCAGCAGGUUUGACUGGAGUAGCUCGAAGACAAAUCAGGCGUGAUGGCACACGCCUCUUAUCCAGCACUCGGAUGGCCAGGUUCAAGCCCAGCCUGGGCAACUUAGCCAGAACCUACCGCAAAAAAAGGGCUAGGGAUCUAGCUUAGUGCAAAGGCCCUAAGCUCAAUCUCCAGUUGUCCAGCCCCCCUCACAAACAUCAGACACACAACAUAAGACGCGUCCACUAUAUAUCGUGUAAUAAAGUCUCAUUAUGUUCAUCACAUAACACCUAACAGCAUACCGUAAAUUAAUACUGUGCACUCAUUAUACCUACAGGUCAAUACCUAUUAUGUAUCAUUUGUGUCCAAUAUUUUUAAGUUCAUUUCUCCUUUAGAGUUUAUUUUCAUUAUUUAUUUGGAGGCAGGGUUUUGCUAUGUAGUCCACGCUCACUUUGAACUCAUGACAAUUCUCCUGCCUAGCCACCCCAGCGCUGGGAUUUCAGGUGUGGGUCAGCCACACCUGGCUUCUUUGGAUGUUAAAGGGAGUGACAUGUGGGUCCCUCGCUGUCCCUUGGGCCCCAGCUGUGCCCACUGAUGAACAGGUGGGGCCUGCUGUGUGACUCUGAGCCCCUGUGCCUCUCCUCGGUGCUGGUCCUGGACGGCAGUCCUGUCCCUUGGAGCUCUACGGGCGGGGUCUGCUGGGCCGUCGUUCCGGCCUACACACAAGGGAGCCCGGCCCCGGCAGACUCCCAGGGAGCAGCAGUAGAGCUGUGCCGCUGCGGGCUCCGCCGAGGUCCUGGCCCCAUUCUCCUUCCUGGUAGGGCUGUUCCUGGCAGCUCUCAGGGCUCCACGCAGCCUCAGCUUCCAGGUCUGGGCUGGGCCAGGCCACUCCCUGCAUCGGGCAGCAGGUGGCGCCUGACAUCCCGUAAAUCUGACACCACCCUCUCAAACGGGCUUCUGAGCUCACACUGGAAGUCAGGGACCUGCCCUGUGCCCGAGGCCCUGGGACAUCCACAGGCGGCUGCUGGGUGAGGGACAACUCCUGCCCUCAUUCCCUCCUUUGGGGCAUCCUGACACCCACCAGCUGAGAGGUCCUGGAGGUCAGGGAGGGACACACAGGAGCUGGCAUCAUCUCCUCCAGAAAGCCACCAGGUGCAGGGCUAGGUUUGCCUCCUCAGGGGCCCGGCUUGGGGCUGCGCCUCCAUGGAACAGGGGGGAGACGGGGAGGUGCCCUGGGGUGACAGGGGUGGGCCAGGGCAGCAUGGGCAGGGGGCUUAAGGCAGGCAGAGGCCGCUGUCUGGAGGCUGAGGCCUAGUACUGGUAAGGGGACAGAAAUGACCACCGACUGAGCAGCCUAGAGGAGGGAGGUGGCCUGUGCCUGUCCGUCACCCCCACACUGGCCCUGGAGGAAAUGACAAUGACCAGCCCCUGGCUCGGGGGGCUGGGCUCCAGCCCCUGCUUCUCUCAUUCCUUGUCAGAACAGCGCUGUUCCCAGCACGUGGCUGCUGUGGUGGGCCCCAGGGAUGUCACGGGGCUCCUCAGGGAAGGCAGUAGGUUGUAUAGUUAUCUUCCAAGGGGCGACAUCACUGCCCGGAAACCACACAACCUACUACCUCACUUCCCCCCCGGUGCCCGCUCCCCACCAGGAGGGCCUGCCCUGCGCCCUGCUUUCCAACCCUGCCCUGUGGGCCUUGGCCACUGGCACUGCAGGGCCAGGUGGGCGCAGGGCAGGAGGUGGAGACAAGGGUGGUCUCAGUGAGUGCCCCUCUCGCAUGCUAUCAGGCAAAGGCCCCUGGGCUGCCUUCCCUGCCCGGGAAGAGCCACUGCCCUCACCAGAGGCCUAGCACUAGUGGGGCAGGCUGGGCAGAUGCCAGGUAUCAGGACGGACACCCUUGGGGUGGGCGGGGCCAACCCGCAGAGCCUCCCAAGCCGGUUGCACCUCUCGCUGCUCUGUAGCCAUGACCCCCCAUGACCCCCACAAGUCCCAGUCAGGGCCCAGGGCUGUGUCCACCGCAGAUAUCACGCCACUUCAGGAAAGACAGUAGAUUGUAUAGUUAUCCACAGCAGGGCGGAGCCCCAAACUAUACAACCUACUACCUCACCCCAAAGGGCUGUCAGUCUCUCGCCGGCAGGGACUCAUGGCUUCCGGGUGCCUCCUGGAGCAACAAGCGGGAGUAAGGGCGAGCCAGGUGUGGAUCCUGGGCAUUGCUGGGGACAGAAGGCCACGAGACAUUGCCAACCCACGUGGGAGGGGAAGGAAAAGACUGGGUGCUUGGGAGGCCAGUCAUAGGCCUCCGGACCACUGCUAUCCAGACAGGGGUGGCCACCGUGUCCCCGAGAGACUCCACCCACCUGGGAGGCACCAAGAGGAGGGCUGUCACCUCCCACUUGGCUGUCACAGGGUGUGGCACUGGGACUCUGGGUGGGCGGUGGGCUUUUCCCCCAUAGGGCUCUGGUCCUGCCCCUGCCACCCACAGUGGCCUGGGCAGGCCUUGUGGCAGGACAGGCACAGGACGCUGCUCCUUCUUUCUGGAGCUCGCCUGGCUGCCCAGGGAGGUGGCACUGCAGACCCUGCUGGACAUCAGGGCCUGGUGCCUGUCCUCCAGGGAACAGGGCUCAGGGUGCCUGGCACAGGGAGGUGUAGAGAAGGCGCUGCUGGGUGCCAGGGCAUGGAGUCCUCCCAGGUCCUCCCUGCCCCAGGGCUUGCAGAGCCCUUCAGAAGAGGGGCUGUGUGCUGUCUGGCUCGCUGUCCCCGGGUGCAGGGCAGCACCGUACCCUGGACAGCUUCAGGCGCAUGGCACCAUGCCCCGUCCCAGGUCCCUCAGUCAGUGGGGUGAGCACCAGGGCUCUCACUCAGUGCUGCUAACCCCCCUGCCCCAUGCAGGCCCCGUCCAGUAAUGGUGACAGCCACCCCACGGCUCUAUGAGGCCCCAGAAGGAAAUCUGAAGGGACUGGACCCUUGGUCAGCAGACAGGACUGGCUGUCCCCAAAACCUGUCCAAGCAGAGCCAGAGGUGGGGUCUGGGAGGAGAGUGACAUUGCGUCUCCUGACCCUCUGGCAAUGCAGAGUGAAGGGGGCAUCCUGGCACUGCCCAGCCACCCUGCUUCGAGACCAGCUGUUAUGGUCUGGUCACCCGGGAGGAUGCCAGCUCCUGGUCCUGGCUGUCUGGGAACGUCGUCUGCCCCUGUGUGGGCCCCUGGAGAGCGGCCAGAGGAAGGCACUGGGGUGGCACCUAGACCUAGGUCCCUCCCUGCUCCUGGGAUCUGAACCAGCCUGCCAGGCCAGCUGUGGGGCAGGACUGCCUGCCAGGCAGUCCUGGCUGCCCUCACUGCGGGCUCUGGGCACCCACAUCUCCCACCUUGGUUGGCUGUGGUCUCCUCACCCACGGUGGGGGUCUGCACUGACACCCAAGAGCCUGACCCACCUACCCUGCCCACCAAGGCACUAGCCCAGAUAUGACUCAGUUUCCCUUGUGUGGGGUUCCCUCUCGCCCAUGCCAGACUCACCUGGGUGGGUCCUCAGCAAGCUGACUGGGGGCUGAGAGUUGGAGGGGCGGGGGAGAAGAGGCUGCCCAGGGACCCCACCCCCAAGGGCAGCCACGCUGGGGGAGCCUGUGGGACAGCAGGGGCCAUGGCUCUGAGCACAGCCCCCGUGAGGUGGCCGGGGCUCUCUACUUUCCAGAGAAGGUUGAUGGGCUGGCUGGAUGGCUGCUGAGGAGCGGAAGCUCCACUGGCCACCUUUCAGACCUGCUGGGUUUUCAGAAACAAAAACAACAAGCAC